UCCAGGGGAGGAAGAAAGGGGAGCCAAAACCCUAGCUACUAGAAAUCAAGCAAAUUGAGUCACAAUUUGUGGGAAAUCCCUAUGCAUGAACCCUAAAAAUCAAGCAUCUAACCUUGGCUAGUAAAGAGGCAUAAAGGAAGAAGGUACCAGCACCAAGAAACCGGAAGGCGUGCAAGAUCGAUGUAAAGCACCUCUAUAGGCGAUUUGGAGUCAUGGGACGAGCACAUGUUCAAGCCUUAUAAUACCAAGCGCUUCCGCAACUUAUAUGCAUGUUUUUGGGUCCGUGUUUUGUUACUUUGUUAAACUUUGUUGAAAUGUUUUAGAUUUGAAAACUCGU